ACAGUGAAGAAGGAAUGCAGGAAGAGUCUUAGGAUCAGCAGCCCACAGGCUGGACUCACUCCAGCUUCUGCAGAGUCGGGACGAAGCCUCAGGAGGGAUGGCUCCACAGCAAGAAUCACCCUUUGUCUGGACCAGAGCCUGGGAGAAGCAGAAACAUGGGGCUCAUGCUGAGAAAGGCUCCAACCCCCGGUUCCCACUUGGGGUCCACCUUGGAAGACCGGAUUGUAGCUGUUCCUUGCGGACAGGGCAGUCACCGGCAGAGAGAGAUGGGAGCUGAAACACAAGCCGCAGACCUCAGGUUAACCCAUGACAACCCUCGGCACAGCCAGGGGCUUGGCUACUGGUUCUGGUGCCCCCGUGGCGCAGCUCAGGACCUUAGAGUCUGAUCAUCAGCUCGGAUCAGAGGGCGGCUUGGGCCGCCAGCACCUACCUGAGGCUGUGGCCGCCGUGGCCUCUGCUUUGUCUGGAACCAGCCUGAUGCCAUCAGACACGUCCACCUGGUGAUCAGCCUCCUCCCUUGAGGCCCCAUCAUGCUGUGGUGACAGAGGAUUGCUUCUAACGUGUUCCUUGCAGAAGAUGAAGCACCAGCAGUCGGACAUGAGGUCGUGAUGUCAAAGGAACAUGAGGUCAAGGUGCAGAUCGAAGGAUUGCUUCUUCGGACAAGAACAAAACCACUAGCUACAGUCUUUAGCAUUUAUUCUGA
rnacentral:lncRNA from 1 species